GAUGAAGAACGUAGCGAAAUGCGAUAAGUAAUGUGAAUUGCAGAAUCCCGUGAACCAUCGAGUCUUUGAACGCAAGUUGCGCCCGAAGCCAUUAGGCCGAGGGCACGCCUGCCUGGGCGUCACACGUCGUUGCCCCCCCAUCUACUCCUUCGGGAUUGCGGGGGGCGGAUGAUGGCCUCCCGUGCGCCUCGUCGCGCGGUUGGCAUAAAUGCCAAGUCCUCGGCGACGCACGCCACGACAAUCGGUGGUUGCGAAACCUCGGUUGCCCGUCGUGUGCGGUCGUCGCGCAUCGAGGGCUCGAAAAAAUUGUCGGGCUCCGGCUCGGCUUUCAACGCGACCCCAGGUCAGGCGGGGUUACCCGCUGAAUUUAAGCAUAUCAAUAAGCGGAGGA
rnacentral:misc_RNA from 1 species